AUUGAACGCUGGCGGCAGGCCUAACACAUGCAAGUCGAGCGGAGCGGCGGACGGGUGAGUAAUGCCUAGGAAUCUGCCUGGUAGUGGGGGAUAACGUCCGGAAACGGGAGCUAAUACCGCAUACUCUCAGCUGAGCCUAGGUCGGAUUAGCUAGUUGGUGGGGUAAAGGCCUACCAAGGCUACGAUCCGCAACUGGUAUGAGAUGGUGAUCAUUCACACUGGAACUGUGACACGGUCCAGACUCCUACGGGAGGCAGCAGUGGGGAAUAUUGGACAAGGGGCGAAAGCCUGAUCCAGCCAUGCCGCGUGUGUGAAGAAGGUCGUCGGAUUGUAAAGCACGUUAAGUUGGGAAGCGUUACCAACAGAAUAAGCACCGGCUAACUUCGUGCCAGCAGCCGCGGUAAUAC
rnacentral:rRNA from 1 species